GUGGCAAUAGCUCGGUGGUAGAGCCCCGCUUCGCAUGCGGGGAGACCCAGGUUCGAUUCCCGGCUGCUUCC
rnacentral:tRNA from 1 species